CUGCAGUAGAGUCCGCAUUAGCUCCUGGUCUGUAGCCGAGCCGCAGUCCCAGUUCAUCUGAUUGAUUCGCUCCCGAGCACGGGCGAGCUCGACCAGCUCAGCAGCUCUUUAUGACAUCUGGCACAGACAGCAAAUUCCUUCCAGCUCAACUCGUGGAGCUAGGCUCUGUCCUGCCUUAAAACCAGCCCCAGCUCCUCAAUUACCUUCUGCCCUUAUUCAUGCCCUGCCAAUUCCUCUUUGCUGGAAUCCGGAUGAGGCUGCUGCAUAUGCCAGGGCUGAGAACCACUGGUGAGCACUCAUGGGCCUCCUCCAUGUCAAGAUGGCGCUUGGAACUUGGCCAAAGGAAGCCUGGCUCAGACAGGGUUCAUCGCAGACCUGAACUCAAAGAAGUCUUGCUACUUGGGAGAAGCCCCUCUUACAGGGCAACUUGCCUCCCCUUCUCUGUAGCAGAAGGACUUGCCACGGGGCAAACACAGAGGAAAAAGUGGACGGUGCCACUGGAGAGGAAGAGGAGGUGGCAAUACUUACCUCAGGCUUGACAGAAGUCCUGCAGAAGGUGCUCUGGAGUUUGCCCAGCUUUGUUUCUUUCCUCUCCUGUCUCUCUGUGGUUUUGCCGCAUGCUUGCCCAGACAUGUCAUCCACAACAGCCUCAAAACUGGAAACAUCUCUGGCCUCACAGGAAGAGGGAGAGCUCCCUGAGCAUACUCUCCAGAGGCUUGGUGGGGAGCAGGAAAUGGAGUCAAAGGGCGCAUCUGGAGCAUCAUUCCUCUUCCUGACACUUAGACCGUCUUCUCUCUCUCUCCUCUUCCCUUUGAAGAUAGGAAGCGCACACACUCCAAGAUCCAUUUCCUCACACUCCGAGGUGAAAAUAUCCAGAUGAGUGGUAUCCUCAUAGAAAGGGAUCAACUUAAUCAUUAAAAUAUGCAUGUUUGUUUUGACAUUCCAAACAAUAUUCAGCCCAAACAAGUUUCCAGACCCCUGAGCCGUAAUAGACUGUGAAAUGAAGAAGGGGGUGGGAAAGAGUAU
ensembl:lncRNA